rfam:Orientia tsutsugamushi Boryong complete genome
CAUGUUGUUCUGCCAAGGUAGCCUGUGUUGAUAUAUGCAAAGAAGUGAUUCGAUAUAAAAAAAUAUAAAAAGCUAUUAGGACAAUGUACUCUGCUCGAAAGUGGAUCGAAAUCGUGAGAGGAAGAUUAGAUUACUAGUAUUAUGUGGUUAGAGAC